AUUCGAUUUAAAAAAAAUACACGAACAAAUUCAAUUUAAUAUGAAAUACAUAUGGAACUUUACCGAUGAAAGAAAUAACAUUUUUGCUAUGCCAAUAAAAGGAAUUCUAUACCUGAGUCGGUAGCACGUAAAGUAAGGGCGCACAUUACUGUAAAAGGAUUUCAGAUACAUACGUAGAGAAAACGUUUUAUUACAGUUUUCAUCCGCAGAUUAGCCCCUUUGGAACCAUCGAUACUCAAUUCAGAACUUUAUUGCCCUCCAUAAAAGUAUCUAUUUGGUGUUUUCGGCUGGACCGACUGGACCAAGCAAUUCGAACAAAAAGGGUCCAAUUACGUACGGAUUGCCGACCAGCAUCGUACGCACACACAAUUCCAAAGACGUUGCGCAUCCCUUUCUUUUCCUUUUUAUCUUGAUUUCUAUCGUUCAUCGUGAAACAUGCCUAAAUAUAAUAUACACUACUCUUAAGGUUAUAUUUGUAUGUGUCCAUGAAAAAGCAUUUUUUGACUUCGUUGUGAACUUUAUCCUUGAAUACGUUGAGAUUUUUAGUUUAUACCAUUUCAGACGAUUUUCAGUUCUAUGUCGUAAAUCAUAGCUAGUAGGAAAAAAGGUUAUAUAUCGCGAUUAUCA